rnacentral:rRNA from 1 species
UGCAAGUCGAACGGCAGCACGGGAGCAAUCCUGGUGGCGAGUGGCGAACGGGUGAGUAAUAUAUCGGAACGUGCCCGGUCGUGGGGGAUAACGUAGCGAAAGCUACGCUAAUACCGCAUACGAUCUAUGGAUGAAAGCGGGGAUCGCAAGACCUCGCGCGAUUGGAGCGGCCGAUAUCAGAUUAGGUAGUUGGUGAGGUAAAGGCUCACCAAGCCGACGAUCUGUAGCUGGUCUGAGAGGACGACCAGCCACACUGGGACUGAGACACGGCCCAGACUCCUACGGGAGGCAGCAGUGGGAAUUUUGGACAAUGGGCGCAAGCCUGAUCCAGCAAUGCCGCGUGCAGGAUGAAGGCCUCGGUUGUAACUGCUUUGUACGGAACGAAACGGUGAGCUCUAAUACAGUUUGCUAAUGACGGUACCGUAAGAAUAAGCACCGGCUAACUACGUG